GAUGAAAACGCAGCGAAACGCGAUAAGUAAUGUGAAUUGCAGAAUCCAGUGAAUCAUCGAAUCUUUGAACGCACAUUGCGCCCGCCAGCAUUCUGGCGGGCAUGCCUGUUCGAGCGUCAUUUCAACCCUCGACCUCCCCUUGGGGAGGUCGGCGUUGGGGACCGGCAGCACACCGCCGGCCCUGAAAUGGAGUGGCGGCCCGUCCGCGGCGACCUCUGCGCAGUAAUACAGCUCGCACCGGGACCCCGACGCGGCCACGCCGUAAAACACCCAACUUCUGAACGUUGACCUCGAAUCAGGUAGGACUACCCGCUGAACUUAAGCAUAUCAAUAAGCGGAGGA
rnacentral:misc_RNA from 1 species